rnacentral:rRNA from 1 species
CCUACGGGUGGCAGCAGUGGGGAAUAUUGGACAAUGGGGGCAACCCAGAUCCAGCCAUGCCGCGUGUGUGAAGAAGGCCCUCGGGUUGUAAAGCACUUUCAGUGAGGAAGAACGCCUGGUGGUUAAUACCCAUCAGGAAAGACAUCACUCACAGAAGAAGCACCGGCUAACUCCGUGCCAGCAGCCGCGGUAAUACGGAGGGUGCGAGCGUUAAUCGGAAUUACUGGGCGUAAAGCGCGCGUAGGUGGCUUGAUAAGCCGGUUGUGAAAGCCCCGGGCUCAACCUGGGAACGGCAUCCGGAACUGUCAAGCUAGAGUGCAGGAGAGGAAGGUAGAAUUCCCGGUGUAGCGGUGAAAUGCGUAGAGAUCGGGAGGAAUACCAGUGGCGAAGGCGGCCUUCUGGACUGACACUGACACUGAGGUGCGAAAGCGUGGGUAGCAAACAGGAUUAGAUACCCUUGUAGUC